CUUCAAGGAGCCGAGCCACAGCGGCCGGUUGUCCGGCCGGUCCUGCCCGUACGUCGCCAACAGCGCCUGCGCCUC
rnacentral:antisense_RNA from 1 species